GACGAACGCUGGCGGCGUGCUUAACACAUGCAAGUCGAACGGAAAGGCCCUGCUUUUGUGGGGUGCUCGAGUGGCGAACGGGUGAGUAACACGUGAGUAACCUGCCCUUGACUUUGGGAUAACUUCAGGAAACUGGGGCUAAUACCGGAUAGGAGCUCCUGCUGCAUGGUGGGGGUUGGAAAGUGUCGGCGGUUGGGGAUGGACUCGCGGCUUAUCAGCUUGUUGGUGGGGUAGUGGCUUACCAAGGCUUUGACGGGUAGCCGGCCUGAGAGGGUGACCGGCCACAUUGGGACUGAGAUACGGCCCAGACUCCUACGGGAGGCAACAGUAGGGAAUAUUGCACAAUGGGCGGAAGCCUGAUGCAGCAACGCCGCGUGCGGGAUGACGGCCUUCGGGGUGUAAACCGCUUUCGCCUGUGACGAAGCGUGAGUGACGGUAAUGGGUAAAGAAGCACCGGCUAACUACGUG
rnacentral:rRNA from 1 species